rnacentral:rRNA from 1 species
CAGCCGCCACGGUAAUACGUAGGUGGCAAGCGUUGUCCGGAAUUAUUGGGCGUAAAGCGCGCGUAGGCGGUUUCUUAAGUCUGAUGUGAAAGCCCCCGGCUUAACCGGGGAGGGUCAUUGGAGACUGGGAGACUUAGAGCGCAGAAGAGGAGAGUGGAAUUCCAUGUGUAGCGGUGAAAUGCGUAGAUAUAUGGAGGAACACCAGUGGCGAAGGCGACUCUCUGGUCUGUAACUGACGCUGAGGCGCGAAAGCGUGGGGAGCAAACAGGAUUAGAUACCCCAGUAGUCCCUGUCUCUUAUA